CCUACGGGUGGCAGCAGUGAGGAAUAUUGGUCAAUGGGCGCGAGCCUGAACCAGCCAAGUCGCGUGAGGGAUGACGGUCCUACGGAUUGUAAACCUCUUUUGCCGGGGAGCAAGCGUGCGUUCGUGAACGCGCGUCGAGAGUACCCGGAGAAAAAGCAUCGGCUAACUCCGUGCCAGCAGCCGCGGUAAUACGGAGGAUGCGAGCGUUAUCCGGAUUUAUUGGGUGUAAAGGGAGCGUAGACGGCCAAGCAAGCCAGGGGUGAAAGCCCGGGGCCCAACCCCGGGACUGCCCUUGGAACUGCAUGGCUGGAGUGCGGGAGGGGCAGGCGGAAUUCCUGGUGUAGCGGUGAAAUGCGUAGAUAUCAGGAGGAACACCGGCGGCGAAGGCGGCCUGCUGGACCGCGACUGACGUUGAGGCUCGAAAGCGUGGGGAGCGAACAGGAUUAGAUACCCUUGUAGUC
rnacentral:rRNA from 1 species